rnacentral:tRNA from 3 species
GCCUUCAUAGCUCAGUUGGUAGAGCACAUCCUUGGUAAGGAUGAGGUCAUCAGUUCAAUUCUGAUUGAAGGCU